GGGCCUGUAGCCUAGCCUGGAUCGGGCGAUAGCCUCCUAAGCUAUAGAUCCCGGGUUCAAAUCCCGGCAGGUCCG
rnacentral:tRNA from 1 species